rnacentral:rRNA from 1 species
GUCGAGAAUCUUUCACAAUGGGGGCAACCCUGAUGGAGCGACGCCGCGUGGAGGAUAAGGUCUUCGGAUUGUAAACUCCUGUCAUGCGUGAACAAGGUUGCUUGGUUAAUACCUGGGCAAAUUGAUGGUAACGCAAGAGGAAGAGACGGCUAACUCUGUGCCAGCAGCCGCGGUAAUACAGAGGUCUCAAGCGUUGUUCGGAAUCACUGGGCGUAAAGGGUGCGUAGGUGGCGUGGUAAGUCAGAUGUGAAAGCCCGGGGCUCAACCUCGGAACUGCAUCCGAUACUGCCAUGCUAGAGUACUGGAGAGGUGACUAGAAUUCUCAGUGUAGCAGUGAAAGGCGUAGAUAUCGAGAGGAAUACCAAAGGCGUAGGCAGGUCACUGGACAGUUACUGACACUGAGGCACGAAGGCCAGGGGAGCGAACGGGAUUAGAAACCCCAGUAGUCC